rnacentral:rRNA from 1 species
UACGUAGGUGGCAAGCGUUGUCCGGAUUUACUGGGCGUAAAGAGCGCGCAGGCGGUCGUUCAAGUCGCGUGUGAAAGCCCCCGGCUCAACUGGGGAGGGUCACGCGAUACUGAUCGACUCGAAGGCAGGAGAGGGAAGUGGAAUUCCCGGUGUAGUGGUGAAAUGCGUAGAUAUCUGGAGGAACACCGGUGGCGAAGGCGGCAUCCUGGACCAACACUGACGCUGAGGCACGAAAGCGUGGGGAGCAAACAGG